UAAGCAUGAUCUCAUCUGUCUGGGAAGAUCAUCAUCUUUCAAAGGCUAAGAAAGAAGGAGGCUCCACGUGGGUGGAGCAGGGUGAGGGGAGAACAGAGUUUAAUUAGCUGGUCAGAGCAGUCUAGUAGCCUGACGGUCAUGGAAAAACAGGUUUCAUAACCAGACUGCCCACAGUUUUAAAAGUUAUCUAUUCCUUUUAUUGAGAUAUCGUUGACAUCUAACAAUGUGCAGACUGUGGCUUUGUCUUCAUGAGUCAGAAUGGCUUCUAAAGCUCCAGAUAUUACCUCUGCAUAAAGUGGUCAAAUGUAGGAAGCUUUUCCAUACUUGAGAACAGGUCAAGAAACCCAUUAUCAAUGACCGUCUUCUGUCUGAGGUGCCGAACAACUACAAAACCUCGAUGCCCUUUCUUCAGGGACUUUUAAAAGUAACAUUUAAUAAAUACUUUAAAAUGCC